CGCGCCCGUGGAAAUACCUGGCUGAGAAGGACCCCGGCUGCCCCGCGAAGGGACUCGAGCUCCUGACCUCCCCAGUGGCUUGCAGCCUGAACGUGUAUCUCUAACAAUUCACUCUUGAGGACCCGAGUGCCAUUCCUUUGAGAUGGCAUCAUCAGGAAGGGUCUCUGUCUCCCCAAGUCUUUGUGGGGCAGCAGAAGCCUUGCUUUCCUGGGUGCCAGCUGGCCAAGAGCGGGCCUCAGCACACGCACACCCACCAGCUGCUUGCAGUUCUUCAUUCCUCUCCCCGCCCCUCUCCUCCCCUCCCUGAUUCUCCCUUCAGCAGGUCCAGGUGACCUCUGCGCAGGUGGACACGCACCUCAGCUGGUUCCCCUGCUGCCAGCAGUUACUCAACAAGCUCUGUUUUCACUGCUUGUUUAAACAUAAACCCGGCUUAGCUGUUUACUUGUCUCUGAGUUGUGCCCCGUGCUAGAGUUCAGCUCCCUAAGAGCAGGAAUAUACUUGCUUUUUUUUUUUCAUUGCAGUUUCUCCAACCAAACAGGAGGCCUCACUCAUGAUCGGGGGUUCCAUAAAUAUUUACGUGGCUUAAUAAAUGGUGGGGGAAAUGGAAAUGUAUAGUACAUCACACCAGGAGUUAUCAAAAAAGAUGAAGCUAAAUCAGUAGGCCCCCAUGUGAAAAAAAUGUCCAUGAUGAAGUGAAUUUAAUAAAUGCAAGUGGUAAAAAUACUCCAUUUAUGUAUUUUAAUGUAUUUGGAUAUAUUUAGAGAGAAUUGUUAAAAGUGAUCUUUGAGUGUGCAGGAGGCACUAGGUUGAGGGGAAAUAUUACUUUUUAUUUCACACACUUUUGUAUUACCUUAAUAUUUUUGCAUAGGCAUAUUGAAAAAAUUUAAGUGAGUAAAAAUGUAUGAGAAAAUUAACGCACCGUUAUUGUUCCUCCUUGGCAUAUUUGGGAAGCAGUGCCGCAUACAGACAUGGUACAAUUUUCGGAGGAGAGAUUCCACAGCUUCAGCCGAAUUUCCAGUGGAUUCUGUGACCCCCAAAAGUUGCGCAAGGUUCCCUGUCAUAGGAGGAGAUUGAAGUUUAAAGAAAGCAAGUAGGAAGGCCUGCCUCAUACAAUUGGAUGUCCUUGCGGGUCAAUAUCACAGGGAGUUACUGUGAAGAGUUUCUCAUGCCUACUUAAUUAGAGAAAAUGAUUUUACUCAAGACUAGUGCUGUCCGUAGUAUCCUGGAGUCUUCGGAAGCUCUGGGUACAAAGGCAAACAACGGAAUAAUUGGAUAUCCAAUUAUUGAUGACAUUUGGUCUGAGAAGCUGCCACGAAAUUUAUACUGAAGAAAGGAGCCUUUAUUUUCUCUACUACACUCAAAAAUGAACUUUAACACAAUAGUUUCCAUAGUGCAGAAGCAGAUCAUCUUGGGAUGUUCAUUUUGGAACAUACUCAUCUGUGCAUUAUUUACCUGCAAGAUUUGGAAGCAGCCCAAGUGCCCAUCAGGAGAGGGGUGGAUAAAAAGCUGCGGGACAGUCACACCAUGGAACACUACGCAGCUGUAAGGAAGAAGGACCACUUACCCU